AAAACCCCUGGCACUGUGUCCUGGGGACAUGUACUGAAUUUUCCCAGGGGAUCUUCAGGUCUGUCAAGCAUUCUCAUGCCUUCUCUGUGCCCCCAUAGUGUUUAUAUAUGCCAUACUUUACACAUUGCUCUUCCUUGGUUUUGCAGGUCACAAAUCCCUAACACUUACCCACCACUGCCUAGCCCGGAAGGGCUAUCAGUUACCUUUGUCAAAUGAGUGCUUUGUGACCAUUUUUUAUUUUCCCUUUGAGAUUUUGAUCUUCUUUUGGUGUGAGCAUCCACAUUUCUACAGGUAUAAUCAAGUGUAAAGGGAGCAUGCAUCACCUUGACUUUCAGAGAGAAGACCCUCCCCACAAGACAAAUGUCUUUGGCUUUGCAGUGCAGCUUGCCCAUGUAAACCUCUUGCAUUGUUUGGAGAUUCUGUCCCAUGCCAAGGAUCUAACCACCCACAAGCAGGCAUACUGCUGUCCAAACAGAUGGACAAGGGAGAUAAGCAGGCCAAAGCCCAUGGAUGAACAUGGAAUGAAAUGGUGCAGAGAAGCCAAGGGUAUUGGAAAUGAAUGCUAGACUUUGCUGCACAGUUUCCAACAUAAGGAUGAACCAGUGUGGAUGAGGUUUUGAUACCGAGCUGUGAACAAAGGAAAAGAUGAAGACUGGGGAGACUGCGGAAGACCCAGCCAGGUACUGACACUGGUCUUCUGGGGCCAGCAGCCCUGCUCACGCCUCAAGCUACCUGUCAUGAAAAGUCCGAUGUCUGCCACCUGUCUCACAGAUCUGUCCUGAGGAUUAAUGAGAUCACGUCUGGAGAGCCUUGUGAAGCCUUCAGAAGGAAAUUACAGUUGCAUGUGGUUAUGUGAUGUGGAAUUUGAGAGGAGGUGGUAUGUACCAUUUUCAAGCCUCAUAAAACCUUCCACUCAUGCCCCUCAUGAUCCUUCCUCCUUCUGGCUGUCAGGAGUGAUGAUGCCCAAGGCAACCUUGAAGCUGUGUGUUGAAGAUGGUAGAGCUGUUAUCAGCCUGGAUUCUUGAAAAACUAUGUGGAGCAAGCCACCUCUGACCUCAAUUCCUUCCCUGGGCUGUCAUGUGAGAGAGGAUAAACUUUCUUUAAAAAUCUCCUGAAUUGGGGGAUCUGUUUGUUACUGUGACUUAGUUUCAUCUAACAAAUACAUCUGUGGUGGACCUUAAUCUUUAAUCUUUGAUUAGUCAUAUGCUUUUGUUUGCAGAAAAUCUUGUGCUUUUUUUUUUGGUUGUCGUUACUUAAAAGGUCUGGAGUUUAAUCAAUGGAGACUCUUACUGGGAGCAAAUAACUUUAAAAAAAUAAGUGGAAUUUUAUGAGCAAAUAAGGAUUGCUCUUCCUUUUGGCAAUUUCACUACAAGCAAUAGUCAUUCAACUUGAAAUCAAUGGCAUUGCCUUAGGCUGAUGUUUAAUGUAAAGAAAAAAAAGAACCAAAUUAAUUGUGAAUACAUUUUCAAUUUGUGAUUGUCAUUUGUGAUUAUGCCUUACUCACCCUUCUAUCAACAAAAUAAUUAACUACUAAGUGGCAGUCCAGGAGCAGAAAGAAAUACUAGAGUUGAUUCAAGAUCAUGUAUUUAACACUUAGUGAGGAUCUAUAUGCCAGGCCUGGAGAUUCAAAUACGAAUAAGAUAUUUUCUUAAGAAGCUGAGGAACACAUGCUCUGAAGGAUUCUUAUUUUGGGUGGCCAACUUGCAGAAGACAAUAGAAUUCUGGGAGAGCCCCUCAAUGCCUGGAUUUACUGUUGGAGAGAUAGUACAGUACACACUAGAUAACUUAUCUGUGCACCAUGGAAACAUUUGAAAAGGUAAUGCAGAUAAUACACAGAAGAGUCAUUUGUCACAAGUAAUUGCAGGCAGUCAAAAAGAUCUAGGGGAAUAUAUGAAUCAUGACGUAAAAACUGUGAAGGGCAGGCAUAUGAGUCCACUCAGCGACUAUUAUUGAGCAAGCUGGUCCUCAAAUGAGAUACAAAUUACAUACCAAGAGGGGCAAGUCUACAGAACAAAUCAUUCUGGUUUGUGUCUGAGCUUCUGUAAUAUCGGAAAUUUUUUCAUUGAUCUUUACUCUCAUUUUUUCUAUGCCUUUUGUUUCAUUUUUCAUCCUUAACUCUUGGUUUUGCUAAAUCAUAGUAUUCAUAGGUGUGAAAAGUUUGGCUUCUGCAAUUUACAUGAACUGCUGGAUAUGUAAAACAAAGCUGUAACAUGACACCUAUCAAAAUAAACACCUGCCAUUAUUGGGGUUCAGUGUAACUUGAAAAGCUUGCAUAAUUGUAAAACAUCUGAGGUCAUCAUUUCUAAUUGAUAAAAUAAAAAUUC